CACUUUCUUUGAGUCUGGGUAUUUUCACCGAUCAGAGAUCCCUAGUGAGGUAUGUUGAGACUAUAUCAGUUCUAGUGGAACAUCGUUGAGCCCCUAGUGGUUCCAUUCGCGGAGUACUUCUGAGAUAGACUAGUGGAUUAUUACUGAGUUGGAGGCAGUUUUCAGUGCAGUGUAUAGAUCAGGCAUACUGGGGCAUAUUUCCCCAUUUUGAGGUUACCAGAUUCCUAUCAGAUUCAGUCAGGGAUUCAUCAGAGAC
rnacentral:lncRNA from 1 species